CCUCCUGGCAGGUGCUGGAGCUCCUCUAAGCACCGUGCCUGCUGCCUGCAGCAAGAAAGAAAGAGAGCGGAAGCCCAAGGAGUCGGCCCGGACUGGCUGGUCUCACAUUACUGUCAGCAGUGGCCUGUCAACCGCUUAUUUAAAGCUCACAAUGUCUGCUCUUGUUGCACAGACAGACCUGCCAUUAGGAGCUUUCCAGACCAAACCUCGGCUGCUCUGGAGAACAGUAAUUAAAUCAGCAGACCACGAUGUCUGCUUUCUGUUCUUUUCACACCUGUCUGCCAACAGCUGGCUUACUGGGUACAAGGAAGAUCUUGGCAGGGCCCAGACUGCAGCUGGGGGAGCCCCUGGACAGUGUGUCCUGGGUUUAGAGCACCAGGAGUGGAAAGGAGAAGCCUCCAGGCUGCCAGGGGCUCAUCUGAAUGGAGGGUCAUCAGGUCAUUCAUACAACCUUCUGCCCUGCCCCUGUACCUCUUCUCAUCAACAAACAUUAAGGAGAAGCGAGAGCUGCUCUGCCCUUGUUCUUGAAGCAAGCCCUUUUGCUUAGGAAGCAAAGCCCUUUGGAAAGCUGGUGUUUCUGUCAAUGAUGCUUACAAAGCAGGUGAGUGGAGGCGGCUUCUGGCUGAGAGCCUGGGGUAGGUACUGCUCUAGCAAUGUCAGCUGAGCGUCCUCAGGCUUGUCACCUCUAAUAUGAGGGUGUUUUACUUGAUGAACUCUUUGAUCUUUUCUAGAUCCUAUUUUAAAUACUUUUCCAAGUACCUCAGCACUAUCCAAUAGAAGUUUCUGCAAUGGUGGGAAAGCUCACUAAAGCUUUGCUGUCUGAUAGUGGCAGCCAGUGGCCCCACGUGGCCACUGGGCAUGUGAAAUGUGCCUAGGGCAGGCAAGCCACAUUAUUUCAUUUAUUUUAAUGAAUUAAACUUUAUUAUUAAAAACUAUUAAAAUUAUUAUUGUUAUAAUUAUUUUAAUUAAUUUAAAUGUAAGCAGCCACAUAGCUUUCUAAGCUACCAUAUUAGAAAACACAGAUCUAGGAAGCCAGAUUCUAUCUUUAAAACCAUGGGUUGGGUCAAAUUCUGUCUGAAAAUUAUACCACAAAUCCACUCAGUUCUCUCAUUUCCAUUUUCUACCUUAAGCCGAACCACUAACAUUGCUUUCUCCUUGGUUUCUCUUCUCCCACUUUCACCGCCUAUAAUACUUUUGCCCCAGCCCAGAGCAAACUUCUUAAGACAUAAAGAAUAGGUAAAUAAAAUAUUUUUUUAAAAAAAGACAUAAAAUUGGCCAAGGUAUUCCUCUUCUCAAAAACCUCAACAUCCCUAUUGCAGUAAACCUGAAAAUCCACCUGAGGCCUGCAGGUGCUCGUACUCUGAAUGCCACUCCCUUCUGGCCUCACCUGGCUCUUCAUUGUACCUAACACUUUAGGUUUCUGGAAGCUGCCAAACCCUUAUUGAGCUCAGGUGCUUUGCAUAAACUUUCCCUUGGUUAUAGAGCUGUGCUGUUCAAUACAAUGGCCACUGGAUACACGUGGCUCUCUGCUUAUCUAUAUUUAAGUUAAUAAAAAUUAAAUAAAAUUAGAAAUUCAGUUCCUUGGUCACACUAGACACUUUUCAAGUGCUCCAUAGUCACAGGUGGCUUGAGGCUACAUGUUGGAUUGCACAAAUAUGAAAUAUUUCCAUGCUCAUAGAAAAUUCCUUUGGAUAGUGCAGUUCUGGAACAUUCUUCCCCACACUCCAGCUAGACUAAUUCCUAUCCAUCUUUCAAGUCUCAGCUCAAAUAUCACAUUCUCACAGAGGCCUUUUCUAGUCCUUCAGUCUAAAUGAAGAACUCCUGCUGUCUUUCUUAUAAAGCUUGCAAUUUUCCUUUCUUAUUCUUACAACGAAAAAGAAUACAAAGUCGCAAUUAUGCACAUGGUUGCCUAUUGUGUGUAUUUUCUAUCAAAGUCUCAGAAAAGGACACCGGGGUGGCUCAGCGGCUGA